GAUGAACGCUGGCGGCGUGCCUAAUACAUGCAAGUAGAACGCUGAAGGAAGGAGCUUGCUCUUUCCGGAUGAGUUGCGAACGGGUGAGUAACGCGUAGGUAACCUGCCUGGUAGCGGGGGAUAACUAUCGGAAACGAUAGCUAAUACCGCAUAACAGUAGAUGUUGCAUGAUAUCUACUUAAAAGGUGCAAUUGCACCACUACCAGAUGGACCUGCGUUGUAUUAGCUAGUUGGUGAGGUAACGGCUCACCAAGGCGACGAUACAUAGCCGACCUGAGAGGGUGAUCGGCCACACUGGGACUGAGACACGGCCCAGACUCCUACGGGAGGCAGCAGUAGGGAAUCUUCGGCAAUGGACGGAAGUCUGACCGAGCAACGCCGCGUGAGUGAAGAAGGUUUUCGGAUCGUAAAGCUCUGUUGUAAGAGAAGAACGAGUGUGAGAGUGGAAAGUUCACACUGUGACGGUAUCUUACCAGAAAGGGACGGCUAACUACGUG
rnacentral:rRNA from 1 species